rfam:Oryza meridionalis cultivar OR44 (W2112) chromosome 7, whole genome shotgun sequence.
AAUAAAUUAUAGGGUUCCGUGUUCAAUAUUUAACUGUCCGUCUUAUUUGAAAAAAAGAUAUAAAAAAAUUAAAAAGACAAGUCACGAAUAAAGUAUUAAUCAUAUUUUAUCAUCUAACAACAAUGAAAAUACUAAUUAUAAAAAAUUUCAUAUAAGACGGACAGUCAAAAGUUGAACACGAAAACCUAGGGUUUGUCUUUUC